CAAACAUUCAUUUUUGCCAUUAAUUUUAAUGAUCCAGUGAGAUUUUGUUUGCACAAGAAGUCUGACAACAGCCAGUGCUCCACACAGAGAUCUGAUCUGAUCAUCAUCCAGUCUGUCUGGAAUGACAUAAAGAAACAGAACAAACUGAGACAGACUAAAUCCAGAAGAACUGUGGCAACGUCUCCAAGAUGCUCCAAGUGACGUGCCUGCAAAGCUACCUGCUGAGUCGGAGAACGCAGUGUAUCUCGAAUCAGACAAAACCAGAAUAACAGACCGGCACUCAAAAGACUCAUUAAUAACCUUUUUUUUUUUUGGGGUACUAGGGACCAAGCGUCUGGAGUGUAUAUCACCUAACGGGACAGGGAGACGUGUGGUCCACAGUAACCUGAACUACCCCUCAGCAUGGUCGCCUUCACCAAUCACUACUAUUACACAGACUGGAGGAGGGACGGGGUCAUCGCUCUCAAUCGAGAUAACCAGUCAACAGAUGAGCACUUGCCUGAUCAGAGGUCUCAUUUGUACGGCAUUACAGUUGCUCCUCCACACUGUUUAUAAGGGAGACGCUAAUGACAGAGCCAGCGUUACAUGGUGCUAUUUUGAGCUGUGGGAAUCACGACGGAGACGUGGACUCAGAAGAGAGCCAAUGGCAGAACCCGCAAGUCUCGACCAACGUCACUGUCAAUGCCAAAGUGCAAAUUUACAAACACGAAAUCUUGAAUAUUUUCUCAAAAUAGUUUGUAAAUUUGUUUAUACCUCAUUUUUCUUCUACUGUACUUUGUAUGUGACUUUUGUUAAAAAAAAACUAACAAAUUUAAAAAUACCCUACAGAGUUAGUUGUGUAAUUUGUAUCUCGACCAACGUCACUGUCAAUGCCAAAGUAGCAAAUUUACAAACACGAAAUCUUGAAUAUUUUCUCUAA
rnacentral:lncRNA from 1 species